rnacentral:rRNA from 1 species
CACGGGGUUGCGAGCGUUGUCCGGAAUUACUAGGCGUAAAGGGCAGGCAGGCGGAUCCAUAAGUUUAUCGUUUAAGGCGUCGGCUUAACCGGCGUAGGGCGGUAGAUACUGUGGAUCUGGAAUGCGGUUGGGGAAGACAGAAUUCCUGGUGUAGCGGUGGAAUGCGCAGAGAUCAGGAGGAAUACCGAAGGCGAAGGCAGUCUUCCAAGCCGUUAUUGACGCUCAACUGCGAAGGUGUGGGUAUCAAACAGGGAUUUAGAUACCCCGGGUAGUCCCUGAG